rnacentral:rRNA from 1 species
UACGGAGGAUCCAAGCGUUAUCCGGAAUCAUUGGGUUUAAAGGGUCCGUAGGCGGUUUAGUAAGUCAGUGGUGAAAGUCCAUCGCUCAACGGUGGAACGGCCAUUGAUACUGCUAAACUUGAAUUAUUAGGAAGUAACUAGAAUAUGUAGUGUAGCGGUGAAAUGCUUAGAGAUUACAUGGAAUACCAAUUGCGAAGGCAGGUUACUACUAAUGGAUUGACGCUGAUGGACGAAAGCGUGGGUAGCGAACAGG